UGCUGCCGUGGAUGCCACGGCUCGUCUGAAAUGCCUGAGUGUACCCCGCUUUGCGGCGUAUUCGGUGUGAUAAAUCUUCACCGGAGUUGAUCCUUUUCGGGUCGCGUCCUACGAGUGUGGCUCUAUGCUUCCCAACCGUCUGUUUGGACAAUCUCUGACAAUUUGACCUCAAAUCGGGUGGGACUACCCGCUGAACUUAA
rnacentral:misc_RNA from 1 species